ensembl:lncRNA
UAAAAGACAACAAUACCAUUUUUAUUUUUAUAUUUUUACAACAACAGGCAUGUAUUAGGGUUCAAGAAUCACUGAAGGAAGACCCCAGACUCAAAUAAUAUACAAGGGCAAACAAAGAGAAACAACCAGCAUUAAGGGGUCAACCAUUAAUCAAAAUGGUGAUGAUGUGAGAAGCUCGCAGGCCCCUUUUAUGCAGGGUUAGGGUUAUUUUUCAGAAGGAUUAGGUAACCUCUAAUAUGAUUGGUAAGCAGCACAGCAGUGACAUUAAUACAAUCUUGAUGGAUGCUAUGGUAGUUUCUCUAUAUUUGGUGAUAUCUUGAAGAAUUUUGGAAACCAGCUCAGUCCUAGACCUCACUCAGCUCCAGAUUACCCCUCCCUAAUUCAGGGCCAUAACUGAGUAAAGCCCUAUUGUCAGUGGCUCCUUCUGAGGAGCCCACUAUGCUUCUUAAGGAAUUGAAAAAUUGUAUUCCCAAGUUUCUGGACCUUUCAGGUUGAUCAGACUCUGAAGGACUGAACUCCACACUCUGCAGAGCCUCUUCAUAGUUACACAGAGGGCGCCUUUAGUAGGCCAGGUUCUGCAUACCACACAUCUUCUCUCAUCUAGGAGCUUUCUGAGGGAGCCAUUACCUAAGCAAUUCCCAGACCUACCUGCCAGGCAUGUCUUGGGACUAAGUUAUGCCAGGCUUUAGUGAUUCCUUCAGGAAGAGCAACUCCAUAAAUUUCAGGUAACAGUCACUAUUUACAAAGGUUCUUUCAAAGUCUACAAAGCCUACAUGGUCUUACCACUCCAGAAUUCAUGCCAGAUACAUGGAUGUGCUAAAAUUCUGCUAUACAGGCUGCCUUCCUUUCUUCCUUUCUUCAGUUAGAAGUAUUUUUUAUUUGCCUGAGUAAUUGUUGCCUCAGAGGCUUAUCUCUCCUGUCUGCUGAUCUAGGUGGAGCCCCUGAGGCUUCGAGCCUCUGUACAAUCUUACCUAGGCCUAGAGUGUUUUUGGCCUUUGAGACUUACUUCUGAAUACGCACACCCUUUCUUGCUCUUUCUGAUCUCUGGCUGACUGAUUCUACACAGCUGUUCUGGAUCAAACUACUCUCUGAGCUGACUGAUACAAUCUGGUUCUCUCUCAGCCUCUCCUGAAUUGCUCUACUUGGCCUUGUAAUGACACUGGCAAUCGCUUCUAAUCUAUUGGAUCCUUCUCAUUCUCUGGCUCAUUCUGUCUUCACUGGUGUCUAGCUUGUUCUUUUCUGCAGCCUUCUCUGUAUAUCUCUUCCAGUAAAUCCCCCCCCCCCUUCAUUGCCCCUUAAGUCCCUCUCCUUUCCCUUCUUUUGUCAUGAGAGUUGGGCAUAUCUUAUUCUGUCAAAUCUUUCUCUGAUCAGUCUCUUUGCCUCUGAAUUAGAUAUCACGUUCAAACAUGGCUGCUCUCUUCUACAAACUAACUUUACGUUCAUUGUUUGGGAUUAACGGUGUGUGCUAAGGGCUGAGUCACACCACAACCAGAAACAGAUAUUUUCAGUAAACAUCACAAUGUUGGCAUUCACAGUGUGAUCAAAUAUUCUGCAACAAGUUCAAGAACCAGAUGCAGGCCCUUUUAACAGUCGAAUGUUAGAGGCUGUGUCACAAAAGCCAUAAAAGCACAGGCAGGACCCUCCUUCCUGCCCCACCUUAUGGCCACCUCAAGAUGCUGCUGCCACAGGAGUUGUCAAAAUAGCAGCAUUUGUCAAAACAGUGAUGCCUCAGCCUUCUGCUGUCACUGGUGCUGAUACAUCUUCAACCCCACUCAGCCUGCUGCCUUCUACAUGUACAGGAGCUGUCCAGUAUGGCAGUACCUUCUUUCCUUCAUCAGCCUAAGACCUUCAUGAGAUACUACAGCAGUAGCUGGUCUCACAGGAGCCAUCCACCCUGGCAGCACCUCCUCUCCAGGCCCCCUGAGCAGCUCCACAGAGAUGCCGCCUCAGUCAAAGUCACCUGUGACCAGAAAGGACUUCCUAUCCUAAUACAUGGUCCUGAUGCAGGGAAAGGGGGAGUGGUGAAAAUAAGCCACUAAUCCCUGAGCAGGAAAACACCAAUCUCUGAGCUUUUCACAAAACCAAAACCAAAACCAAAAAACAUUGCCGGGUUUGGCAUGACUAAAUCAGGAGAGAUGUGACACAGUUCUUGCCCCUGGACCAUGGCCAGGCCUUGGACUCCCACAAUCCCCAGGUGUGCUGAUGACUACUGUUGGUCUGAACAUGAUCUACUCCACAAUCUCACUUUCAGUCUUUCUUUCUGGGGAAUAUGCUUCUCCCAUUACUCAGAGCUAAUCACGCCAUAACAAAUGAAACAGAUGUGGUUCUUGGGAACAAGGAACGGAGGUGGUCAUCAGGCUGUGGAGGAUGAGUGUUAUUGUAAAAAUAUAAAAAUAAGCUCCCUGUUGUCUUUUACCCCACUAGGUCCGCACCGCGGUGCCCAUGACAUCUGCUAGAUAUCUUGGCGGAAACACAUCCCAGCCGCGCACUUUCCUACACUCAAACCCCCACAUAAAAGAACACACAACACAAUAAUCUUAGAUCCAAUUGAUAAGAUAUAAUUGCCCACUUAAACAUACAAAGCCCGGUAGCAUCCAUCCCUUAGGAACAUUGAUAACAACCUGUAAAUACACAGAGCAGAAUCUUAACAUCACCUGCCAUGGCUUCUCCCCUCUCUCUGACUUCCUUUCUCCUUUUCUCUGUCCUAGUCUCCUCCUCUUCCUUCAAACUUCUCUCCCACCCAUCCUUCCUUCUCCUCCAAUGACAGGCCUCCUAUCCUGUACCUACCCCUCACCUGUACUUUACAAAUGAAAUGGGGAAAAGGUUCUGGUGAAGUCACCUGAUUCCUGAGUAGUGACUAGGCAGCUAUCCUUGGGGCAGUGGAAUUAGCAUCAAAAUACAGAUAACUUCAGGGUAAACCACAACAGAUGAGGAACAGGCUUUCUGUUUGACCUUUAGAGCCAUGGGAAAGGAUCUAGACACUUACUACAGAGGCCAUAAAUGCCUACAUGGUCCUUUGUUGGAAGAGUUCAUUGCCAGACUUGGCUCUGAAUUUGGAAUGAAUGAACUGCUGCAUUAAUUAGUCAGGAUGAACUUGGGGACAUCAAGGUUAGAGAGUUAAUGUGGUCUCAAAAAACAAAAGGCAUGGAUAGGAAAUAUAUAAAAUAUAAUCAAACGAUAGAUGGGUUUAUUUUAUAUGAGAUAAAGGGCUUAUAUACGAUCUAGAAACAGAUAGUAUUAGAAGGAGAGUAUAUGAGGCCAUGGAAUUACACAGAUUAGAGAAUUAAAAGAUGAUGUAUAAGCCUAUGAAAAGCUAGUGCUUAAUUUUCCUAGUUACUCGAAGAAUUGGAUAUGAGGAUGCCUAGAGAGAUAAGAGAGAGAGCUAACUUCUUUACUUGCAUAAUCUUUAAAACUGUAAGAAAUCAUCUUAACCUUAGUAGUAUGUUAUCUCUCUGCUCUUACAUGAAAAUAGUUACUAAAGCCUCUGGUCUGCUGCACCAGGAAACUACAAAAGGUGUGCCCAGCUCCCUGUGAAGAACAGGCUGUGUAAACAUAUAAGGAAAUGUGCUUUUGCAUUGUGUAUAUUUUCUGUUUUAAGGGAGCAGGGGUUGCAGCUAAUGAUCUGGGAUUCAUAAAUUUAAUGUAAAUUUAAGAAUUUCUAACAAUAUUGUUAAUGAUGUUCAAAGCCUUGAUGAUAUAACUUUAGUUAAUAAAAGACUUGGUUCAGGCUCUCUGGUUGGGAGAAGGCUAAAGCGUGAGAGGGAAGGGAAAGGAUUGAGAAGGAAGGAGAAUGAGGAAGAAUGAUGAGAACCCUCUAGAACAGAGAGAGCACCUGAACUGACAGCUUGCGCCCACUACUGACUCCCAAGUUAUUAUUGAAUUAGCACUCAUUCUCCCCUUUCCCAGAACAUUCCUCAUGCUGAGGUGGGACCUUGGCAAACCACCAAACUCUGAACAGAAACAACCACUAAUCCCUUGGACAGAAAAUCCCACCAAUCCCUGAGCUCCCCAAGCUCAGGAACUGAAAUCCCACCAAUCCUUAAUCUGGAAAUCUCUAGCCUUAAAAGCCCCACCCCUAAGAAAUUCUAUAUAAACCCUGGCCUUUGUUCAAUUUCCUGCUGUCCACUCCCAGGAGCUCACCAAAUCUCACGCUGGAAAUCCCUGUCCUGAAAAGUUACCCCCUUGGGGAACUCGGGGUAGCUACCAGAAAGUCACAGAUGCCAGGAAAGCAAGAGGCUCCCAGGACCCAACGGGGAUCACAUUAGCUGAAAUACCCAACAAAGGAGAGGGAGAACUUGUAGACCCCCGUUUGAGGGAUGGGGCUACCCACCCAUCUCCAAAACUUUAACCCAGAGUUGCUCCUGUCUAAAGAAAAUACAGGGACAAAGAGUGGAACAGAGACUGAAAGAAAGGCUAUUCAGAGACUGCCCCACCUGGGGAUCCAUCCCAUAUGCAGAUACCAAACCCAGACACUUGCUGAUGCCAAGAAGUGCUUGCUGACAGGAGCAUGAUUUAGCUGUCUCCUGAAAGUCUCUGCCAGGGCCUGACAAAUAUAGAGGUGGGUGCUUGCAGCCAACCAUUGGACUGAGCAUGGGGACCAAUGGAGGAGUUGGGGGAAGGACUGAAGGAGCAGAAGGGGUUUGUAAUCCCAUAGGAAGAACAACAAUAUCAACCAACCAGACCCCCCUCCCACCCAGAGCUCCCAGAGACUAAACCACCAACCAAAGAGUACACAAGGAAAGACCCAUGGCUCUAGUUGCCUAUGUAGCAGAGGAUGGCCUUAUCUGGCAUCAACAAGAGGGGAGGCCCUUGGUCCUGUGAAGACUUGACGCCCCAGUGUAGGGGAAUGCUAGGGUGGUGAGGUGGGAGUGGGUGGGUAGGUUGGGGAGUACCCUCAUAGAAUCAGGAGGAGGUGGAAUGGGAUAGGGGUUUGU